CCUACGGGGGGCAGCAGUAGGGAAUAUUGCUCAAUGGGGGAAACCCUGAAGCAGCAACGCCGCGUGGAGGAUGAAGGUUUUCGGAUUGUAAACUCCUUUUGUUAGAGAAGAUAAUGACGGUAUCUAAAGAAUAAGCACCGGCUAACUCCGGGACAGCAGCCGCGGUAAUACGGAGGGUGCAAGCGUUACUCGGACCCACUGGGGGUAAAGAGCGCGGAGGCGGGAUAGUAAGUUAGAGGUGAAAUCCUAUGGCUAAACCAUAGAACUGCAUUUGAAACUGUUAUUCUAGAGUAUGGGAGAGGUAGGUGGAAUUCUUGGUGUAGGGGUAAAAUCCGUAGAGAUCAAGAGGAAUACUCAUUGCGAAGGCGGCCUGCUAGAACAUAACUGACGCUGAUGCGCGAAAGCGUGGGGAGCAAACAGGAUUAGAUACCCGGGUAGUC
rnacentral:rRNA from 1 species